CAUAGCGACUAUCGUGGCAUAUCAAUAAGCGGAGGAAAAGAAACUAACAAGGAUUCCCUUAGUAACGGCGAGGUGAAGCGGGAAGAGCUCAAAUUUGAAAUCUUAAAGGGUUUCCCUUUACGAAUUGUAGUUUAAAGAAGUGUUUUCUGUUGGAGUUUCGGUAAAAGUUCUUUGGAAUAGGACAUCAUAGAGGGUGAGAAUCCCGUAUUUGGUCAUUCCUCCUAGCGUUGUGAUACACUUUCAACGAGUCGGAUUGUUUGGGAAUGCAGUCCAAAAUGGGUGGUAAAUUUCAUCUAAAGCUAAAUAUUGGCGAGAGACCGAUAGCGAACAAGUACCGUGAGGGAAAGAUGAGAAGAACUUUGAAAAGAGAGUUAAACAGUACGUGAAAUUGUCAAAAGGGAAGCGUUUGACACCAGUGUUGUUUUUCCGAAAAUCAAUUAUGAAUGGCUUGAUUUUAAGUUUCAUGACCUUAAAAGCUUGUUUCUUAUUUUUCAUGUCUUUCGUAAUGCACUUUUCGGUUAACAAGUCAACAUCAAUUUCUUUUGUUGUAAAAGGUUAAGAGGAAGGUGGCUUUACUUUCGGGUAAAGUGUUUAUAGCCUUUUAACUCUGCAAUCGGAGAGAUUGAGGUCUGCAGCGUAGAUCCUUCGGGGUUAGAUACAUUUGUGCUAAGCUUAUAGUCUUUCAUAGACAACUUGUUGACUAUGUUAAGUCUUGUAAUUUACUCGCAGAUGCUAUCUUACCUACGCUUAGGAUGUUGAUAUGCAUGACUGAUAU
rnacentral:rRNA from 1 species